GGCCGACGACGCGACAGAACGAGCAACUCAACGCAGUUGUGUCGUUGCAGCUGUGUGGGCGAGGUAAAUCCAAUAUGAAAACUGGACCCUGAAGCGACGCCUUCAGGAUGCCGAAAAUAAUUAUGACUACAUGUGCCCCCAGUACAAGGG